rnacentral:lncRNA from 1 species
AUGGUAGGAAAAAACCUGUAAUAUAUAUAAAAGAACAGGCAAGACUAAGGCAUAUGAAUUAUAGAGACACGUUUUAGAGAAUUGUAAAAACAUUGUGAUAAUUUAGAACUGGCCUUAUCCUGGGCCCACGCUGAGUUAGGUCACUCGUGGUGGCAAAUGCUGGUGUGUUUAUCCGGCUGGGUGUGCGCCCAGGGACCUGGUGCUGCCAUAUUGUGAAAUCAUAACAGAGUCUUCCACACCAAGAAGAUUUUAGGAUUCAGUGAUGCCAGGCAGCCAUUUUUGCAGACCUGUUGGAUUUCUUUCACAUUUUACCUUUCGCUUAUUUGUUACGUUAUUUUCAUUAUAAGUGUUUACGGCAGCCAGUGUUUCUGAUCUCAUGUGUCCUCUCCUCCCUUUCCCAGGCGGCGAUCCAUGCGAGUUGUGGCCACCGCAGUACCCCAGCAAAGGCGGGGAUCUGAUGGGUCACGUCUCGGCGCUGGACCGAAGGCUGCUGCUCUGGUUUGAUCUGGUGAAGCGUCUGGCCGCCGAGCAGAGGAAUCAAGACCUGCUCAUUCCUUCCUCGGGGGAUCCAUCCAGCAAUGACAUCAUCUCAUGCUGCCACAAGGACCCCAAGUCUGGGCUGCUGGGGACCAGCCACGCUCCCCACUGCUCAUUCCUUCAUCCUAGAGACAUUCUGACUCUCCUCCGACUGCGCUGUGCACAGGCGUGACAAGCUCUUUUACAUCUCAGUCUGCACAACUUCAGGCACUUAGCAGAUUGAUAUGCAUCCAACAAAUAUUCAUUGAAUAUCUGCUAAAUACCCAGUAAUGUUUCAUGAGUGAUUGGGUGAAUAAAUGAAUGCUGGUUCCUUCUGGCCAUAUUAACUCCUGCACAAUACUAAGAAAAAUAAAUUGCACUAGCUGUGGAAUAAUGUGAAUCCCAAUGUCAUC